AAUGUUUAUUUUCUUAAAAUUGCAGGGUCAUCCUUGUCGUCUUUUCUGAGUGAUACCCCAUCACGAAACAAACGUAACUCCCUACAGCUGUGUGACAUCAUACAGAGAAACACCAGACGUAACUGCCUGUCCUAUACUUUCUAUGGCUGCUUCUGUGGUCUUAGAAGCUGGGGGAGUAACCCAGUAGACUCUUCAGACAGUUGUUGUCGCCAACAUGACAAUUGUUUCUCCAGUAUAGGCAGA
rnacentral:sRNA from 1 species